ensembl:snRNA U1 U1 spliceosomal RNA
AUACUUACCUGGCAGGGAAGAUACUAUGAUCACAAAGGUAGUUUCCCCAGGGCGAGGCUUAUAUAUUGCACUCUGGAUGUGCUGAGCCCUGUGAUUUCCCCAAAUGUGGGAAACUUGACUGCAUAAUUUAUGGUAUAGGAGGACUGCGUUCACUCUUUCCCCUU